rnacentral:rRNA from 1 species
AGUGGGGAAUAUUGGACAAUGGGCGAAAGCCUGAUCCAGCCAUGCCGCGUGAGUGAUGAAGGCCUUAGGGUUGUAAAGCUCUUUCAGUAGGGAAGAUAAUGACGGUACCUACAGAAGAAGCCCCGGCUAACUUCGUGCCAGCAGCCGCGGUAAUACGAAGGGGGCUAGCGUUGUUCGGAUUUACUGGGCGUAAAGCGCACGUAGGCGGAUCGUUAAGUCGGGGGUGAAAUCCUGGAGCUCAACUCCAGAACUGCCUUCGAUACUGGCGAUCUUGAGUCCGGAAGAGGUGAGUGGAACUCCUAGUGUAGAGGUGGAAUUCGUAGAUAUUAGGAAGAACACCAGUGGCGAAGGCGGCUCACUGGUCCGGUACUGACGCUGAGGUGCGAAAGCGUGGGGAGCAAA